UACGGAGGGUGUGAGCGUUGUCCGGAAUCACUGGGCGUAAAGGGCGCGUAGGCGGCCAUUCAAGUCGGGGGGUGAAAGCCUGUGGCUCAACCACAGAAUUGCCUUCGAUACUGUUUGGCUUGAGUUUGGUAGAGGUUGGUGGAACUGCGAGUGUAGAGGUGAAAUUCGUAGAUAUUGCAAGAACACCAGUGGCGAAGGCGGCCAACUGGACCAACACU
rnacentral:rRNA from 1 species